AGCCAAAAGAAAAAGAAAAUGUAUCCUCAAAGUAACCUUGGAAAUCAAAGCAUCCCGAAAGAGCAGAGGGAUGGGCGAGCGAGCAGGAG
rnacentral:lncRNA from 1 species